GGAUGAACGCUGGCGGCGUGCCUAACACAUGCAAGUCGAACGAAGAGGUCCCUUCGGGGAUACUUCAGUGGCGGACGGGUGAGUAACACGUAGGUGACCUGCCCCGAAGUGUGGAAUAACAGUCCGAAAGGAUUGCUAAUACCGCAUGUGGUCUGUGAGGUUAGAGUCUUGCAGACUAAAGCAGUAAUGUGCUUCGGGAGGGGCCUGCGCCCCAUCAGCUAGUUGGUAGGGUAAUGGCCUACCAAGGCAACAACGGGUAGGGGGCCUGAGAGGGUGACCCCCCACAUUGGCACUGACACACGGGCCAAACUCCUACGGGAGGCAGCAGUGAGGAAUAUUGCUCAAUGGGCGAAAGCCUGAAGCAGCAACGCCGCGUGCGCGAUGAAGGCCUUCGGGUCGUAAAGCGCUUUUGAGAGGGACGAGAUAGGACGGUACCUCUGGAAUAAGUCACGGCUAACUACGUGCCAGCAGCCGCGGUAAAACGUAGGUGGCAAGCGUUAUCCGGAUUCACUGGGCGUAAAGCGCGUGCAGGUGGCUUCGUAAGUUGGACGUUAAAUCUCCCGGCCUAACCGGGAGGAGUCGUUCAAUACUGCGGGGCUGGAGGGCAGAAGAGGGGGGUGGAAUUGCUGGUGUAGUGGUGAAAUGCGUAGAUAUCAGCAGGAACACCUGUGGCGAAAGCGGCCCCCUGGUCUGCUCCUGACACUCAGACGCGAAAGCUAGGGGAGUGAACGGGAUUAGAAACCCCGGUAAUCCUAGCUGUAAACGAUGGAUGCUAGGUGUGGGUGGUAUUGACCCCAUCCGUGCCGAAGCCAACGCGUUAAGCAUCCCGCCUGGG
rnacentral:rRNA from 1 species